rnacentral:rRNA from 1 species
AUUGAACGCUGGCGGCAGGCUUAACACAUGCAAGUCGAGCGGGGUGAUGGUGCUUGCACUAUCACUUAGCGGCGGACGGGUGAGUAAUGCUUAGGAAUCUGCCUAUUAGUGGGGGACAACAUCUCGAAAGGGAUGCUAAUACCGCAUACGUCCUACGGGAGAAAGCAGGGGAUCACUUGUGACCUUGCGCUAAUAGAUGAGCCUAAGUCGGAUUAGCUAGUUGGGGGGGUAAAGGCCUACCAAGGCGACGAUCUGUAGCGGGUCUGAGAGGAUGAUCCGCCACACUGGGACUGAGACACGGCCCAGACUCCUGCGGGAGGCAGCAGUGGGGAAUAUUGGACAGUGGGGGGAACCCUGAUCCAGCCAUGCCGCGUGUGUGAAGAAGGCCUUAUGGUUGUAAAGCACUUUAAGCGAGGAGGAGGCUCUUUUGGUUAAUACCCAAGAUGAGUGGACGUUACUCGCAGAAUAAGCACCGGCUAACUCUGUGCCAGCCGCCGCCGUAA